rnacentral:rRNA from 1 species
UACGUAGGUGGCAAGCGUUGUCCGGAAUUAUUGGGCGUAAAGCGCGCGCAGGCGGUCCUUUAAGUCUGAUGUGAAAGCCCACGGCUCAACCGUGGAGGGUCAUUGGAAACUGGGGGACUUGAGUGCAGAAGAGGAGAGUGGAAUUCCACGUGUAGCGGUGAAAUGCGUAGAGAUGUGGAGGAACACCAGUGGCGAAGGCGACGUCUCUGGCCCGAUACUGACGCUGAGGCACGAAAGCGUGGGGAGCAAACAGGG